ensembl:snRNA U7 U7 small nuclear RNA
AAGUGUUACAGAUCUUUUAGAAUUUGUCUAGCAGGUUUUCUGCUUUUCACUGGAAGACUCCC